AUCAAUCUAUAUAUAUCUCUCUUUAUAUUACUUAAAUUAAAAAGUCAGGGGCAUUUUUCAUGGCUGAAUUUUUUAGCAUGGAUGAAGAUUGGGGUCUGCAGGCUAUUGUUCGAGGUUGCUCCGAUGAUCAUUCCACGAAUAUUCGGAAUUAUCGUGAUGAUUUUCUUUUCAAUUUUCCUGAUGUUUAUGAAGCUAAUAAUAUUAAUAAUUGUUGGGAUGUGAUUAUUUGGGUCUAGCCAUGGUGCGACCCAGUCUAUUUAAUGGUCCGAAUCUGAUGAUGGCACAUAUGUAUUUAUUAUGACAAUGGAAGAGUCCUUAUUAAAAUAGGAUUGUGUAUCCUUAUUUAGAGGGAUAAGGAGUCCUUCUCCUAGUAGGAUACGGGUGGAGGUGGCUUCUAUAUAUAUGGCUACAAGCUAGGGUUUGGGGGAGGAUAUGAUAGAACACAACAACUUGUACUCUCCAUAUACACAUCUUGUACUCCCAAUAUUAUUAUAGUGGAUUACUCUCUCCUCGUAAUUUUUUUCCAAUUGGG
rnacentral:lncRNA from 1 species